rnacentral:rRNA from 1 species
UACGUAGGAGGCAAGCGUUGUCCGGAAUUACUGGGCGUAAAGCGCGCGUAGGCGGUUACUCAAGUCGGAUGUGAAAGCCCUCGGCUUAACUGAGGAAGUGCACCCGAAACUGAGUAGCUAGAGUACUAAAGAGGGUCGCGGAAUUCCCGGUGUAGAGGUGAAAUUCGUAGAUAUCGGGAGGAACACCGGUGGCGAAGGCGGCGACCUGGGUAGAUACUGACGCUGAGGCGCGAAAGCGUGGGGGGCAAACAGG